AAUGAAAUGUCUGAAAAAGAGUUAUUUUGAUAGAAUAAAGCAUGUAAAUAUAUUUUACUUUCAUUA
rnacentral:tRNA from 1 species